rnacentral:rRNA from 1 species
GACAGAGGGGGCGAGCGUUGUCCGGAGUCACUGGGCGUAAAGCGCACGUAGGCGGAUUGUUAAGUGAGGGGUGAAAUCCCAGGGCUCAACCCUGGAACUGCCUUUCAUACUGGCAAUCUCGAGUCCGGAAGAGGUGAGUGGAAUUCCGAGUGUAGAGGUGAAAUUCGUAGAUAUUCGGAGGAACACCAGUGGCGAAGGCGGCUCACUGGUCCGGUACUGACGCUGAGGUGCGAAAGCGUGGGGAGCAAACAGG